GCCGAAGUAGCUCAGUUGGUAGAGCAGCUGAUUUGUAAUCAGCAGGUCGCUGGUUCGACUCCAGUCUUCGGCU
rnacentral:tRNA from 2 species